CAAAGCUUCCCUCUGUGUCAGUGAGUCCCUCUGCUGAGAUAGUGGAGGGCAGUUCAGUGACUCUGACCUGCAGCAGUGAUGCUAACCCAGCAGCUAAAUACACCUGGUACAAGGAGAACCAAACUCUGCUCAGUGAAGAACCACAGCUUGUCUUCAGCUCCAUCCAGUCCUCUGACUCUGGAGAGUAUUACUGUGCAGCUGAGAACCAGCUGGGGAGGAGGACAACUAAAUACAUCAUUAAUGUGAAAUAUGCUCCAAAGCUUCCCUCUGUGUCAGUGAGUCCCUCUGCUGAGAUAGUGGAGGGCAGUUCAGUGACUCUGACCUGCAGCAGUGAUGCUAACCCAGCAGCUAAAUACACCUGGUACAAGGAGAACCAAACUCUGCUCAGUGAAGAACCACAGCUUGUCUUCAGCUCCAUCCAGUCCUCUGACUCUGGAGAGUAUUACUGUGCAGCUGAGAACAAGCUGGGGAGGAAGACAACUAAAUACAUCAUUAAUGUGAAAUAUGCUCCAAAGCUUCCCUCUGUGUCAGUGAGUCCC